AUUGGAGGUGAUGCCUGCCCAAUGAUUGUAUUUAAACGCAAGUAAUAAAAUAUAAAGUUAACUUGGCUAAGGACAAUUAAAUGGCCGCGGUAAAAUUGACCGUGAUAAUGUAGCGCAAUCAAUAGCUAAUUAAUUGUUGGCAAGGAUGAAUGGCUUAACGAAUGCCCCACUGUCUCAAGAUAAAACCCAGUGAAAUUGAAUUUGUAGUGAAGAUGCUACGUCCAAAUUGUUAGACGAGAAGACCCUAUUGAGCUUUACUGGGGACUUAUCUGGUUAUUUUUUCUAAUUAUUGUGUAGAUUAUGUGGGAAAUCUGUGUAUAGCUAGAUAAUGAAAAACCACUCUUUAAUUUAAAAAGAACUAAAAUCGGAUUAUUCGAUUGAAAGGGGUAAGUUGGACAGUUUGGUUGGGGCGACCGCCUUCUAAAAAGUAACGAAGGUGUGCAUACGGUAAAUAAUCAAAAUAAAGUUAAAGCCUGACAGCAAGGAGGACAUAUUGAGCUGGCAUGGGAACGUGCCUGUGGGCUAUAUUGACCCGUUAGUUUAGGGUGGGGUAGUUAACGAGCAACGAAUAAAAGUUACCAUAGGGAUAACAGCGUAAUAUUGUUUGAGAGUUUAGAUCGACGACGAUGUUUGCGACCUCGAUGUUGAAUUGCGGUUUCCUGGAGGUGCAGCGGCUUCCAAGGGUUGGACUGUUCGUCCAUUAAAACCGU
rnacentral:rRNA from 1 species